rnacentral:lncRNA from 1 species
ACCUUUUAACUCCUAAAGAGCAGUUCAAUUUUUAAUGAAUUUGGAGAAAUUAGGAAUUUUACUUAAGUUGUAUACUAUAAAGCUAAUAACUUUUUGAUAACAUCCCCUAUAAUCUUGAACUUUACUAUUACAAAUUAUAAAUUAAUUGAAACAUGGAAUAUGCACAGAAAAUAUUUCUUAAGAUACAGGUUAAAAUGUUUCAUAUUUUCCUGCGUAUUAUAACCUGUAAAGCACGUUCACUUACACCAUUUCACUUAUUUUUCAUUAUUGUUUAACUCAGUAUGGAAAUUGUACUAUUUGUUUCAUUUGGAUCUGAGGAGAUUGAAGUGAGAAGGUUGACUUGAUCAAGGAAAGGUCAUGUGGCUAUUUAAUCGCAAAAAAACCCCCAAACAAAACAAAAACCCUAAGUGUAGUUGAAUAUCAUCUCAGCUAUAAUACACAGAAAGUAAUACAUUAUUCCUGUUAUCAGAGGAGUAUUUUAUGGAACAUAUCAAGCUUUCUUUCUUGAUCAUCAUGGCUAUUUAUUGCUUUCUGAUAACACGACUGAAUCACAGCGCUAAAGAAUUUUACAAGUAAUAUCUGUCCAGUUUACCCACUGCCAAAAUUUCAGGUUGAGAAUAUGUCCCAUUGCAGGUACAGGCAUUUUGUGCUAUUGCAUUGAAAAAAAAAAAUGUAAAUGGGGACUUCUUGAACAACAACAAACUAACUGAAAUAUUAGAUGACUACACAAAAAAACAGUGGCAUUUUAUGACAGACCAGAGGAAAUUCUAAAACAUCCACCAUACUACCAGUUGCAAUGCACUACAUUAUUUUUUUUCUCCCCUAGGAGAACAAUGUGAUUUCUCUCAUUGCAGAUUCUCAGAAAGAAUUAUAACUGAAAAAGCCACACAGUUUUCAAUCAGAAUUUCAGCAACCUUUUGCAUCUCCCUUGUUUUGAUUGAGAAUCAAAGAAGAGGAACUGUGUUCCCACUGGAGAAGCCACAAGGAAGGCUUUCUGUAAAAGCCAAAGUUAAAAUGAUGCAAACAGGCAGAUGGAACCCAAGUCUGAAUGAGAAAAUCCUGAGCCAGGCCUCUUGCUGUGGUGUUAAUAUAGCCCAGUUGCGCCCUGAUUUCCUGUCUUUAUUACUGGGAUGCCAGUUAUUUAUGAAUUGAAUUCCCGUGUAGUUAUCUUGCUGUUAUUGCAAAAUGCCACAUGAUAUUUUGUGCUAAGUCAAUAAAUGACUCGUGCCGCCACUGUAUUUACUUUGUGUUUGUAAUCUCUAUGCUUUUACCCUUUUUCUGACAUUUUCCAAGUCUCUCCCUGCAAAUCAGCUGGCCAUGAAGCAGCGCUUCCUUUCAGCAAUUGACAGUCCUCUGCUGCAGGCCUAACCACUAAUUCACACCCCAGGGGACUGUGCACCCCAGAAAGAGAUUUGCUAUCAGUCUUCUGACACUCUGGUUACUUUAAAAAUUACUCCCAGAAUUUGGACUUCUUGCAGGUAAUUCUUAGAGAAACAUGAAAAAAUAUUGGUUGUUUGAAGCUUCAACUUAAAAAUAAGGAGCAGUAAUAAAGCAGGAUCAUUUGAAUUGGAGAAAUAGAGGUGACUUCAAGAGGUCAUGAGAUAAAAUUUCUAAUUCAGGGGCUCUCAAGCUCUUUUGAACAAGAUUUGUAAUAAGAAAGAAAUACAACUUACAGUGUGACUUCUUAUAUUCAUAUAUAUGAUUCAGUUGACACCAAAGUUUUAUAAAAUAAAACCUAUCCUUAUUACAUAGGCUUGUCAAAGUAUAAUAUUUUUAAAAUUAAAAAUAUGAUUUUCAUACAAAAAUAAAAUGAGCACAUAAUAAAGGUUUCAUUCAACUUCUUAAUUAAUGAAAGAACCAGUGCAGUGUUAAAACUGGUUAAAAGGUUAUUUGAGGAGCUGAGUGUUUAUAGGCAAUUUAAUAAAAGAUGUUAAGAUGGCUAACUUAGAUACAAAACUGGCUAACGUGCUGCAGUUCAAUCAGUCACCUUUAGGGUUAUUUUUCCUACUGGACAGAAAUUAUUUGCAUAGCUGCUGUGCAAAAAUCUACAAGUUAAUGUGUACCUUCAUUAAAUCUUGGACACUGUUUCAGUAGCAGACCCAAACAAAGAUUAUUCUUGUAAGUAAUUCUUGGCCAGAUGGCUUAAAUAAUGCCCUCACAUGAUUUUGAAAAACAUAGUCCCCAAAUGUUUUACUCUUGCCUUACAAAUUGGUUAAUUUUUUCCUAAUGGCAUGCACCCUGAUAUUUUCUAUUGUGUCCUUUUUAAAUUUUAAAAGCUGAUACUAUCUCCCUAAGUUAUUUUUCUAUGCCGUAAGUAGCUUAUGACUUGGUUUAAAGACUGCUACACCAGUGUAAAAAUAGGACAGCACCAAGCACUGCCAGAAUGAGGCAAGACUUUUUUCUUUGUCUUAUGAAUGAAAAGCUAAGGGGAAGAGGUUGGGGAGAAGAAAGAGCUUUAGCAAUCUGUAUUCAGGAACCUCAGCAUUCUAUAAAGUGAUGCGACUUUUCAUAAAAGUCAUAAUGCUUUUUUCAUCAUGCUUUUUAUAAAAGUCAUAGUGCUUUUUUCUUAAGCACAAAUUUUGCUUAAGUUGCAAUAUAGGCUCUUUUCCUCCUGAUUAGAGUAGAAUUUAGACAACUUUGUAGAGGUUUUUUUUUUUUUUUUUUUUUUUUUAGAGCUGUAGGAGAAGGUAAAUUAGUUAUUUGGAACCACUGCCUCAUUUCACAGAGGAAGAAACUGAUUCAGAAAACUAGGGUGACAGGCUCCAUCCCACAGCAGAUCCAUGGGGAAGCCCAACAUGUAGCCAGGGAAUGAAGAGGACAGUUCCUCUACUCAGGAGGGUGUGAGCCUCAUUACAGGUGACAGUCACCGAAUAGAGGACCUCAGGCAAAGCUCUUGUCUUCCUGGUCUGAGUUGUUCCGUCUCUAAAAUAGAAAGAUGUAAUGAGAAUUAAAGGACAGACUAUGUUUAAAUGUCUUUGUAAAACUAAAAAGCACUCUGAAGAUAUAAAUUUACUUAUUCCAGUCAUUUUUCCUAGUGUACAUUUUUCCAUCCUUGUAUACCUUCUCACAUAUAAGAUCUAAAUGCUGACCUAUUUGCACAUAUUUCACAGUAAUUGAGAUCACGGGUACAAUGUGCCCUAUUUAAGUCUAGUGAAUUCUGUAAGUGCUUUCUCUCUUCAACACAUGGUUCUAUAUUAAAAUAUUUAAAGAUGUGCUAGUUAUGGUUGCUAAUAGAUCAUCACUGUAAAAUACUCUAAAAUUUGCAAAUUAAAAAGUACCAUUCCAAUAAAAUGUACUACUAUUAUAUAAGACUUUCUACUUGUAGAGACUUCUAGUUAUGCUUUCCAUGCAUAAAAAAAUGCAACUUGAAAAACUGAUAAAUGGCCAACAGCUACUUCCCUGCUGAUUAUACAAAAUUUCAUUAUAGUGGAACAUUUAACAAUUUAAUUCUGAGCUCUCUCAGGAAUAGUCUGUAAAAUGUUUUGCUUAGGUCUCUUUUUAAGCACUGAAUUCUCAGCUUAAAUAAAAGGUAUGUUGAGCCUUUGCCAUAAGCAAAGUUAAGUCAUUAAAUCACAAGAGGUGAGCCUGAAGAUGACAGGUAAAGACAGAAUAAAUAAACACAAUCAAAACAUACCUGAAUGUUUUCUUUUCUCUUUCUCAUUCUUAGACAAUAAUUGCUGAGAUAGAAAUGAGACAGCUUUACUGCAAAGGCUACUCUCUUGAUUCCUAAGAGAUAUGUUUUAAAAUACACUAUAAAUAUUAGAAAAAUAUUCUAAGUGUAUUUAUGCCUUUUACAAAGUGCUUCAGACAGUUGAAGUAAUGGGUCUCUUGAGCUUUCUAUUUUUUACUGCUUUCUUCCACCUCCACCUCCUUCCCUGAUUCCUCUGAUUACAUGAGAGAAAAGAGAAAGCUUCAUUUAGACACUAAUGUGUCUGUUGUACUUGCUGCUUCAACACUGGGCAGGUGCUAUUCUCGUGUUUUAUAACUUGAAAAGCAGGGCUCAGGUUGAUCUUCUUAGGACUUCUGCAGGUAGCAGAAUGGUGCCAGAAAAUGCAGAAGCAGAGUCUGCAUCUGCAAACCAGUAGCAGUGGAGCCAAGGAUGGUAAACCAGAGGAUAUUCAUACACAACUUUGCAGCAUGAAUCCAGGUUUAUAUGCCAUUAUAAUCCCAGGAAUCUUUCUUUGAUUUCUACAUUACAUGACUUAAAUCAUCACUUUGUGCAUUAUUUCCUCAUGCUAACUUUUAGGACCAGAUUCUCUUCUCUUCCAAGAAUGCUAGGGGGAAGAUUCCUUACUUCAUUUAUACCCGAAAACACUACCUUCUUUUCCUACCGAGAUCUUCUGAUCUUCUGCUAUGGACUCCUCCUUGGUCAUACUCCUGUUCUCCUCUUUACCCCAUGCUUUAGCCAUAGCACACACCACACCCCUGCCUAUGCAAAGGGAAGGCAUUUGGUAUAGAGAAGAAUCAGAUCGGAAUCACUUCAACCUGUGCUUGAAUAUGGGCACUUACCAGCUCCAUGACCUUUAUACAAAGUGAAAAUACUUUCUCUUCUACCCUCUUAUGUUCAGUUUUUGGAGCACUGCAAAUUAAACUGACAAAAGAUAAAUUAACAGGAUAAAUGGCUUAUUACAUAAUAUUCAUAGAGAGGCCUUCCUAGAAAAAUAGGGAAGACCCAAAAUAAAUGGCUGGAAUCUGAGGAUAAUAUACUAUUUUAACAAAGAUCAAUAAAUUUAUAGAAAAGUGGAGUUCCUGUUGUGGCUCAUUGGAAUCAAAUCUAACUCGUAUCCAUGAGGAGACAGGUUUGAUCCCUGGCCUCUCUCAGUGGGUUAAGGAUCCUGCAUUGCUGUGAGCUGUGGUGUAGGUUGAAGUUGUGGCUCAGAUCUGGCAUUGCUGUGGCUGUGGUGUAGGCUGGCAGCUACAGCUCUGAUUUGACCCCUAGCUUGGGGACCUCUGUGUGCUGUGGGUGUGGCCCUAAAAAGAAAAAUAAAAAAGUAAAUUUAUAGAGAAGAAACAAAACAAAGAGAAAGAAGUUUAGGUCUUUAGAGAUGACAAAUGGUGGGAAGGUAAAUAUACGGGGAAAUUAACAGAGGAUAAGAGUUGUCUAAUUUAUUUUGUAAUACUCCUUAGCGCCAUCUCUGGGCUGGUCAAAGUCUAGUGUAGGCAAAUAAGGGGAGAGCAAAGCAGAGAGCUCUUUUUGAGUCUGCUGUUUCUCAGUUGCCUUCAGCUCAAAAUAAUCCUUAUGCCAAAAUGGUAUAUUUUAGGUUGGUGUAUUCUGAUCCUCUUCAAUCUUAACAAGGUUACCUACUUCUUAGAGCCUCAGCAUCAUACUCCUCUAAGAGAGGAAAACCUUAUCCAGUUGUUGUUGGAAUAAGUGCCUCUUACUCCCUGUUUUCACAGGGCUCUGCUUCCUUUUCAAGGCCUCUAAGAAAAGUGCUUUCCUUUCUCCUAAUGUUCCUGGAUUUUACUCUUCAUUUUCCUAGAUCUUUUCUCUCUCUCUCUCUCUCUUUUUCUAUUACGUUAAUUUAAUAUCCUUUCAUUGGGCAAUCCUACUUAGAGGCUGGGGGCAGAGGGGAGAAGCUGAAGAGGAAUAGAGAAAUCAAGUUGUAGGAGAUGAGAAAGUUUACACAUUAAUCAUUUUUGUCCUGUCCCAUAAACCCACAGAAGCCGUAGAGUAACAUUGCCUAUGAUACCCCCUCUAAUCCUCAUUUCCUCCAUCUAUAAACAGUACAUUUCUAUAUGUCUCUAAAAACCCAACCCAGAUUUUCUCUUGCUGUUGAAUUUAUUUAUGCUCCAUGGCUAUAACUUUUCUCACUCCAGACUUUCAUGGAGGUUUCUAUUUAAUGUUAUAUUUAUUCUUACUGUCUUGAUUACUUUCUAUACUUUAGGUGCAGUUCUUAAGUUUCUUGUUUAGUUGACCUGCAGAAUGACCUUUCUCCUGGUGUUUUACAAUGUGAGAAUUAGAUAAAUGAUUUUACUUCAGUGGUUGAAUUCAUGCCUAGAAAUAGAAAUACUAGAUUUAGCUAUGGAUUGGUAGCAUCCUGAUACUGCUACUAUUCUACUAUCACUAAGUGU